CGGAGGGCGCGGUUUGUCCCGCGGCGCGCACGUGCGUGAGGCGGCGCGCGUGGCGCCCCCCCGCGGCGGCGGGCGAUGGAGCUGGAGGCGGCGCGGCGCGCGGUGCUGGCGGCCGUGCGGGGCACGCGCGCCGCCGACCUGCCGCGCCUGCUGCACUGGAUGCGCCACUCCCAUGACUUUGAUGAGCUUGUGGUGAGUAACAAUGAUGUUGUGCUCAGAAAUAUCGCUGAAGAUUUGCGGAACCACUUACCCAUCGAGGCAAUGUUUACUUCGGAACAUCAAGCUGUUCAGAAAAUACAUCAGCAUCCACUGCCCAUGAUUCAUGUUGAUGCAUUCCUUUAUGAUGAUGAUGUUGUUGAUUCAUUGUGUGAGGAGGGGAAAAUGAGUAGGAGCUACUGCACAGAGUGUGGCUCAUACAAAACUGCAUCUUUAGAGUUUAUUUCGCAUUCCUUUUCCCUCAUGGAACUGAAGUUUCUUUAUCACCAUGUACUGCCUGACCUGACAGGAAAGGUAGUGGUUGACGUUGGCUCCAGGCUUGGUGCAGUGCUAUUUGCGGGUUAUCUUUAUAGCUCAGCUUCCCAGCUGUAUGGAGUAGAAAUGAAUGCAGACUUUUGCCAGUUGCAAGAAAUGAUGAUUACAAAGUACGAGUUUAUUGACAGAAUAAAGGUGGUUCAUGCAGACAUCUGUACUCAGCCCUCACUUCUGCAGAAGGCUGAUGUUGUUGUAAUGAAUAAUGUCUUUGAAUAUUUUCUUGACAGACAGGAACAGGCCAGAGCUUGGGAAUUUAUUGCUUGUAAUGUAAGGAAGAGAGGGUCCUUAUUAGUGACAGUUCCAAGUCUUGAGGAAUCACUUUCAAAGCUCCAGACAGAUGUACAGCCCAGUCAAUGGGUUGAAGAGGUGCAGCUGAACUACGAUGUGUAUAUGGAAAAGGAUGUUGACAGAGAAGCGCUCGAACAGAUUCAUUUAUACAAGAUUCUCUAGUACUUGGAAAAAUUUACUAGUACUAAUAUAAAAUACUGAAGGACACCAAGAAGCCAUGAAGAAUUAAUACAGCAAAUCCAAGAUGAUGGAAUUCUUUUCCUGCACUUCUUCUGUGGAUGAGGUCCUGAAAGAUCUCCUGAAUCGAUUGUCAGGACUUGGGGCUCGUGGUACUGGGAAUGAUCUGUGCCCUGCACCUUGUUUUGGUAAUAUGGGAACUACAACAACUUUCAUUGCAGUUGUUUCUCCUCUUCAUGCUGAGUCUUCAAAUACUUUUUUUGGGUGUUGAUCUCAGAUUAAAAAAAUUUCAAUAGACUGGAGCAGAUCACCAGCAUAUUUAAUGACAUCUGUAUCCUCUGACUGAAAAUAGCAUGCACGCAUCUGGAGCUCAUAUGCAGCAGAGGGUGCAAAAGGGAAGCUCCCCCUGUCUUUUUUAGACAUCAGGAGAAACUCAAGAGGUGAGUUCAAGCUGCUGAAAUGUAUGUUUUCCUCUCCUGCCCUUGAUGGGUCCUCAGUUAAAACCCUCACAUUGACACAUUCACUGAGAAGACGUGGUGGUAAUUCAGUUUGGUUUUAUCAAACUCAUAUUAAGAGAGGUAUCUCCUCUGUCCUUUUAGAAGCCUCUUCCUAACUUGACUUCAUAGGGCCAGAGAUCACAGGACCAUUCUUUAGGAUCUUAUGAGCUGCCUAACCCACCUACUGAAGAGCUAGAAACAACGAGUCUGUCAGUAAGGUAGUAAUUGUCUCUUUUCCAGCUGGCCCCUUUCAGCGCUGUUAUACAUUCCCACACACACAGGCAGCAAAGGUAAAUUGUGAUGUAGUUUGCAAAACCUCGUGUGAAAGGGAGCAAAUCAGUCUUCCCUGUGCAGGCUCAGAAGACCUCAGAUGUCAGCUGAAAUCCCCCCAAGAGUGUGUGCAUUGCCUCAACUAAAGUUUUGCUUGUUAAGCUUGAGGAAGUUGCCAGAGUAUAUUCAGCAUGUUGAGUCCUUGUUCUUAGUUCUUCUACUGCUGAAUUGUCUGGUAUUUGGCCAGUGAUUGAACUUUUCAUUGGUGUCUACAGUGAAAAUAAGAACAAUAAAUCCAAAAGCGGAGCAAGGUUGUGAAUUAAUUGAGUAUCAGUUGUUUUGAGAUUGUCAUAUAAAAAUGUUAAGCAGUUGAGCUCUUCUUUUUAAAGUGACCUAAUUUAAAAAACCUGAAAGGCAAAGAUAAUACCAGUACCUCUCUGAGAUACUUUCUGGCUCUUUCCUUCACCUGACAGCAUUGAAAAAGAAGCACAGAUUAACCACAGAACAAUGUUGAAAAUGCAAAAAUAAUUGUUUCCUAGAGCUCUGUUUUUACACUGCCCUUGCUGUUAGCUGGCCCCUGGUGUUGGGAGGAAGGGAGAGGGGAGUAUCUGGCACCCAGAUUUUUGGGCCUGCGUGCAGGGCAGCCCUGUGACAGCUGCUGGAGAUGUCACGGUGGCUGCCACAAGCUGCCAGCCCUCACUGCCCCGCACAGCUCUGGGGCUGCACAGCUGCUGUGUGCUGCCACUGCCUGUGAAACACAGCUCUGUAUGGCCUGACAGAGGUCCCAACCCCAGCGACAGCAGCAGUACACUGUGGUCAUGAACAGCUUGUAAAUCACAAAAUUUCACUUUUGUAGGCCUGAAUUAGAAAAAAAUGAGGGCGAUUAAAAAAUUAAUGAGGGAGAUGCAUACCUGCAGCACUUAUAAUCGCCAGGAGUUCCUGUCACACAUGGAAAGCAGCUCUGCUAUUUCCCAGGAGCAUAACUUCCCAUGCAGUACCCUGGUUUCUGCAGAAAGAGCCAUCUGAAAUUUGAACCCAUCAAGAACUAGUAGUAGUAAAAGAAGUACUCUCUAAUAGUAAAAGAAGAGAAAAAAUACUCUGGAUCCACUGUAGUAGCACAAAAAAAGUCAAGCUAUAAGAAUGAUAGAUUCACUUUGCAGACAGGAAAUGUUGCAAAUAUCUAGUUGAGACUGUUUUAAAAAAAUCACCAAAUGCCUAGUGAGAACAGCCUGACUCUCAAAGGUGUGUCAUUUUCCAUGUGCCUUUUUUCACAGUAAGCAAUACUGGAAGGGGCUAAUGGCCCAUGCUUAGGAAAACUUGACAGUGGAGCAAGCUUGAAAAAACCAAAAUCCAGCUCCUUCAUUCCUCACCAUCUGUAUCCUCCUCUCUUUCCUAGGUUUCUUCUGUCUCUUGUCUCUUCUCAGCUGUCUUUUCUCUCGCUGUUGCCAUUGCCAGGACCAGCCAUGGUGCAGCAGGCAGGAGCUGUGCUUGAGUGUGGCUGCAGCCUGCAUGUUUUCUCUGUUACUAGAAGACAACAAUAGUAAAUGUGACCAGUAACUUCAGCUGAGCAGCUUCUAGGACUCGCUGCAGGCUGCAAUAAUGACAGAAACAUUUUUAAGGGGUUGCUUUGUACUCUCCAGGAAUUCCUGGUGGAGACUCCAGUGAAGAGCAGACCCUGCUCCAUCUCAUCUCUGAGGCCUCACAACAGACUCAGGCUCUGGCUGUCCCCUGCCCACCCUUGGUAAAACAGGAGUUGACAUGCACAAUGCCAGUACUCUUUGCCAGCAUUUUAACAAAUGGCCUCUCAUAUGCCCUUGGGCUGUCACAAGCCCUCUGCAGCAGAGGGAGUUGUAUUUGUAGAAAUAAGUGGGAGAAGGCGGCAGUGCUGCUUUUCCAACAAACUCAUGUUAAAUGCUUCCGGAAAUGUCUAUACUUCCACUCAUUCAUUAUUUGAGAGCAGAUUAAUGUGGCACAGUGUUUUAGGGGAGGAAGAGAGAUGGCACAUCAUGCUUAAGUGCACAUGUUUUUUAAAUUCCUUCACAGAAACUCUGUGCAGCGUGUAUAUCUUAAAAAAUUGACAUGUUUGUGUCACCCUAGGGGUGAGUCUUUUCCAACAGGAACAAGGUAGCAGUAUGCUGGAAGGCUUAGUUAGAACUGAUAACCUCCCUUGUAGCUUGUAAUGUAGGAGUUCUCUCUGUGAACACAUGCUGGUGUCCUCCCCAUCCAACAAAGAGAUAUUAAAACCCCAAACCCAGAAGUUCAUUAUUAUUUGUAAGUCUUUUGUACUAAGCAUUUGCUUUCCCCCUUUUUUUCUUCUGCAUGGCCUCUGUGGAUUUCCCAGCUCCUCCCACAGUUGUGGUACUACUACCUGGAGACCCUGUCUUGGGGAUUUUUGCAUUCAUGCUUAUCAGGAGAUGCCUCUCCUUCCACUUGGUGGGACAGGAGAAGAAAACAAGUUUUCAUUCUUCAUCACAGGGUGCAUCAGAGGUCCAGGUUCUCCUGAUCUGCCCCACUCUCUGUGAAAGUGGCUGUCAUGGCUUGCUUUCCAUCACCUGGCUCAAGCCCCACCAAACACCUAUGGGGCAGGUGGGGGAGAGGGAAGGUUCUGCAUCUUUGCUCAGCUGCGCUUCCUGGGGUUUACACAAGCAGGGAAGGCAGCCAGCAAAACCUGUCAGCCUGAGCUGGAAAUAGCAAGGAUGGGCAAAGUUGGCAGGAGAUUUCAUGCCAAAAUUUGCAGUACAAUAAUUUACCAGAGUUGCUAGCAGCCUCGACAGAAAUCAGGCCCCAAUUACCUGCAGUAUUGUGUGAGCAUAUGUAUUGUGUAUGUGUGUGUAUAUAUCCGCCAACAUAAUGAGACUCUGCUUAUCCUCGAGAGUCAGCUAUGUAUGCAGACAAAGGUAAAAGAAAGGAAAUAAUAUUUCCUAUCUUCCAGAUGGGGCAUUGAAUUUUGUGUGGUUAUUGUAAUUGUGUAAAUGAGGUAAUUGUACACACAUUGUCUGCUGUAGGAUUGCUGAGUGCACUUUUUGUGGUCUGUAUUUUUAGGGACUUAAAAUUGGGAGCAUGAAAAUACAUAGCUGUUAAAAUAAAUAAUCUCUAUUUUAAAAAUGACAUUAAGAAGUAGUACACAAUUUACUGGGGGGAGUAAGGGAGGGGAACAGAACAUCACUGAUGGCUUCCUGGCAAAACAAUUUAAGACACAAGCACCAAGCUGACACACAGAUAAACAUUUUAAGGGCACUGGUGUAAUGAAGAAUUUGGGUGGAGCUGCCUGCUUCCAACUGCUUCAACAAAGAAACUAACAAAGAAAAAAUUAUUAAUUUUAAUAGUAAGCUAAACAGAAAGUUAACAUCAGGCUUAGCAUCUUAAAAUGACACUAAGCAUGAUGUUGUGGAAGCGCUUGCCAACUAGCUAGGGUUGGAUGCUGAGAAGCAGUAUUCUCUACUAGAGAUCACAGAUGCCUACAUGUUUUUUUUCAGGCCUGUGUAAGGUGUACAUGCUGAGGAUGUAAGUAAAUAAGUACAUCAGCUUUGUAAUUUUGAAAGCAUUUUGAAUAGUAAGUACAUUUCAGUUAGGAGCUGUGGCUAUUAGGGAAAAAAUUAUUUGAGCUAGUAAGCUCAAGUAGUCUUGAACUACUGUGCUACAUAUAUGCACUAGGGGUGUCACUCUCAGAGGUCUACACAGGAGCAUCGGGCAUUUCCACUGGUUCUUUCCCACUUGUGUGUGUUGGAAAGACUGAACCAGUGACUGCUAGGUCAUUGUCAGCUCUCCAUUCUUGCCAGGGCAAUAACCCAAAAGGUCAUCAGCAAAAAAAUCCAAACCAGAGCCAGGCAAUGAGGGGGUUGCCAAGCAUUCAAGGAUUUUAUAGUCAAAACUGCCGCAUGUGUGAGCACAACAUGUGGUGUUGCAAUACUGUGAGUCUGUGUUUCUUAAUGCACUUACUGAAAUUAGUAAGGACCACCACUGUCUAUUUAAAAUCUCUGUGUCAUAGACUGACUCUCUACUUCAGUGUCAUCAAGGCGUCAGCCAAAAAUUCUGAGGUGGCAGUAAGAUUUGCUGUGGAAGAAUCCAAAAUAUGUACAGCUUUUGGCCCCCUUUUGGUAAGGGGCUGAUUGAGGAGUACAUGUUGUUGGCCUUUAUUUAUUUUUAAUGACUCAUAUUUUGGACCUUAUUCCUGUUUGUCUUUCAAUGCCAAACAGAAAUUACUAUUUAGGUCAAGCUGCUGUGUGGUACUAAUAGAAGCAGACAUCAGUUUUGUCGGUGGAUUUCACAGCUAUGCAUUUUGCAGAAUGAAGUUCCCUCUCUAGGCUAUUUCUGACAUUUAGCUGUGAUGGUGUUAAUACCAGCUUCUGGUGCUACCUCUGCCAUUUUACUUGCACACGCUCAGCUGGAGAAUAUAGCUGGGAAGUUACCUUUCAGCUGUAUUUUUUUUUUUUUCAUGCAGACUCUGAGUACAGCAUCUUCUGUAUGAUGCUGUAGAUCCAGCUUUCAGGCCACUUCAUGCUGCUGCUGCAUGGUUCCAGUUCUUUCCUUUUCAGCUCUUUUUAUGCACUGGUGUUAUCCAGCCUCUUGGCCUCUCUGUGGUUGCUGCCAGCUUUGCUACACUCUGCUUAUUUUAGAGGGUUGUUUUCUAACUCUGACUCCCCUGGCUCUUGCUUAAUACUUCCUGAUGAGUGACAGCUUUGGAGAGGAGCCUCAGCUCAUGCGCAGAGGUUUGCAGUCUGUGUUCUGGUCCGUGCCGUGACUCAGAUGCUGGUGCGUGAGGUUUGCUGCAGUGAGGUUUGCUGCAGUGCUGCCCUGGAACCAGUGCUUCGGGCCUGCAUGGAAAUGGGAGACCUGCUAGCCUAGGUGCCAGAAGGCUGGCACCAGCAAAUGAGGUUGCUGCAAGCCUCUCAUCCCUUCCCAUCAGGUAACAGAGUGAAUUGAAGUAUCUCUGCAGUACAAAGCUGACACAAUUUAAGAGCCACCACGAUCCAUUAGAUGGUCCUGAGCAUGGGAAUUGUUAGAUAAAAUUAAAGAGGGGUGGGGCUGGUUUGGCUUCCUGCCAGUGUAACUCUGUGUGUGCAGGACUUCACUGAAUUUCCUCCAUUUCUCAUCAUCUGAGUAUUGGCCCUCCACCUUCAGCUCUGACCAUCAAGUUUUGUGAAGAUGGAUCUUUAAACCAGUUUAUGCACAGAUGCUCAGACCCUGAGCUACAGCCAAAGAUAUGGGCUGAGAGAGAAAGUACAAAAAUGGAUUUAAGGUACCUUUGAAUUUCUGCAUUAUCUGUAUUACUUUGCUUGCUCUGAUUAAGUAAUACUUUAACUUGCAGAAUAGCCAAACAUGAUCUGGUUUGCAGUCCUGUGGUCUCUACUACCAGCUAAUAUCUAGAAGGCUGAAAGUACCUCUUAAGGCUACUAUUCUCUUUCUUUCUAUCCUCAGAUUUUUCUGCAGGUAAGAGGAACCCUAAAGUUACAUGAUUUUUGUUCACUUUCUGAGAGGGCUGUGCUAACAGGAACAGCAUGACUGAGCACAGCCUGAUAAUUAGGUCUGGUUUUACUUAAAUAGAUAACAAGAUGGUUUCUGUGAAAUUUCCCAAUCCCUUUCGAACUGAUCCUCUUUUACAAUACAUGUAUGAUAUAAACUCCAACACUGCAUACAUUUUCUCUUCCUAGUUUUGUCUCUUGUUUUUGUGUUUGGUUUUGUUUAGUGGGGUUUUCUUUCCUGGUCAGUUGUUUCACCCAAACUUUGCAUGCAAAACAGUUGAUGCCACCCUGAAAAUCUCAUAACAGAAGGAUGUUCUUGCCACUUACUGCUUUGAGUUGAUAGUCCUGCUCUGAAUUAACAGAAGUUAGUUGCAGCACCCACAUGUAAUCAUAACUGUGCAUAUGGUUUAGCUCUCACAGAUAAUAGGGAUGAGUAUUUAGUAUCUAGAAAGACGUAUUUUACUGAGAAGCCGACCCAGAGCUAAUGGCCUUUCAGUAAUAAGGAUUUAUUUCAGUGUCUUGUAGCUACAGUGAUAUGGUAUCCAGACUUGGGAUUAUUCCUUCUUCCUUCCUGCAAGUGGCUGCAAAGGGCAUGGAGGGAGUGGAGAAGACAGAGCUGGUCAGAAACUAAUUCUGUCCCCUCCCCAUGAAGGCCUUAAUAGUAAUGAAGCACCUUGACAGAGAGGGAGAGGAGAGCAGACAAACAUCCUGUAUGUGUGGAUGACAUCCCUGCUCACAGCCUAAAUUAACUGUCAGAGAUCUCUAGGCUCCAAAACAAGUAUUUCCAGUGCAUGGGAAUGGACUCAACCUUACUGCUGUGAUCACAGCACAGGAGAAACAAGGUGCAAACUUCUCAGCAUCACCAGAGCAGCCUGGUGACUGUCUGGGUGCAAACUUCUCAGCAUCACCAGAGCAGCCUGGUGACUGUCUGGUGGGAAAAGCAGUCAUACACUGCUUGGUGCCCCAGAGAGGAGGUAAAGCCUCCAGACCCCGCAAUGACCUCAGCCUAGUACUAAGCCCUGUCUAGCACUGCACCACACCUGAGCCCUUUCCAUCACUCCCAGCCCUGAGCAGCCAUCUGUCUGUUGCUGCAGCCAUUGGGUUUGCUAAGUGAGUGAGGACUUCUCCCCAUAAAUUCCCACUUUGCUUCCGGCAUGACCUGGACUGUUUUCUCUCCCCUGCCUUGCAGAACCAUCCCACCUCUCCCAGUCAUGUUUCCUUUACUCUUCCUACAACGUUUUCAGAAAUGUAUAUGAGCUAUCCAAUUACCUCACCCCUUGGUGAGGGAAGUUGGAAUACAGAGGUCAAUAGACUGGGAUCUCUUUCUGCCCAAACUGGUUCACCUGGAUAUUGGUUCCCAACCAGUCUUCCUGUGAGGUGGGGAAGGGGCAAGGCAAGAGGAAAAGUAGGAGAAAUCAGGAGCAGGAGGGCUUGUUCUGAAAGAAUUAGGGGAAGAUUGCUCCAGGCAAGGAGUCUACGUAUCUGUCCCUGGGAGCUGGGGUGAUGCACAGCUGAUGGACGGCCAUCCCUUUCUCCUCUGUGUGCUCCCCAUGCCCAGGACAGCUUUAGGGCACUGGGCAUCCAAUGAAGAGGAAGAGGUGGAUUAGGGGGAAGAGUGAGCAAGGAGCCAGCGGAAGACUUAGCAGCACCUGAUGAGUGUGUAGCGUGGGAUAGCAGUCAACACUCCUUCCAUGGGGAACAGCUCUCUAAAGUUCUGGUCUUCCACUGCUAUGCUCAUUAGCCAGAGAAGAUCCUGAGCUGGAAGAGACCCAUAAGAACCACUGGAUGCACCUGCUACCUGUGUUUUCCAGUGAAAGGCUUUCCAGACUGGCUCUCAAGAAGGCUCUUUCCCAUCUCCACUGCACUCAGACCCUGGUCUUUGAAGGAGCUCUCCCUGCAAAGCCAAGGCUCAGCCUAAUACUUUUAACCACCCUUACCAGUGUUUUUUUCAGAAGCCAUAUUUAUGACAAUGUAUACAUUAGAUACAGAUUGUUUAAUUUGCAUAGGUGCCAGACACAGAGAUGCAUGAAAUUUGGCAGAUAAGCCCAGACGCAGAGGGUGUGAGUGUUGCAAGAGGGAGGAGAUGGGGCCCUUGUUUGUGUUCCUGUGAGGAUUGCUGCUGGCAGAGCAAAAUGGGUUUAACUGGAAACCAAAAGGUUUCAGAUCAAAGCUGUGAAAAGGCUUUAAAACACAUUCUGCUCUCCUCUUGCACUGCACCAGCACUCUGUUAUUCUUUGCUUUAAGCAAAAACUUUGACUGUGGUCAGAUUAUUAUGCGUGUGAACAAGGUGCCACACGAGGCAGCUGCAGCAGGUUUUGGCAAAUCAGCUAAGUGUGAGACAUCCUGGUGGAACCUUGUCAGGCUUAGCAGUGAUGGUUACACAUUGUCUGCCUGCCAUCUCCCCCACCUCCCUGCCGGGGUCCUUGCCCUAGCAGUGGCCAAAGCGGGGUCUUGCUGCCUCAGCCUGCACAGACCCCAUGCAGAAAUCGCCCUUCUCAGCAUCUGCUUGUUUCCCCUUCUGCUGGACAGACGGCAUUGGGAGAGGGCACAGCAGACACGGGGGAGCUAAAGCAUUACAGAUUGCUGCUGUUCAGUUCGGCAGAGCCCAUCUGUCAGGCCUUUAAAAUGCAUUCAGUCCCAAGAUGGAGGUUUCCAGUUCAAAUCAAGCGGCUUUAGUUUGAUGCUACUUAGUAGGAUCUGCUCAUAAUGAACCAAAAACUUGGAUAAGCACCUCUGCCAAAUCUAGCCAAGCAGUCCAGUGCAGCAGCAUAGGCAGCUUGCUGCUCUUCCCUGCAGAGUGGAGCAAGGUGGGUAACACACCUCAUCCCUUCCUGUUCACAGCCCAGGGUUUUGUCUUAAGCCAAUAAUAAUGGUGAGCCUGUGCAAAAACACCAAGCUGUAAAUGAGAAUAUCCCUUGCAAAUACUCAAAUCCUGCUCUGCUACUUGGCGAAAGAGAUUCAUAUUUUGUGACUAUGAUACCUUAAGAAGGGGAGAUAUGUUAGAGUUUUGCAGACCCUUUGCUCUUGAGUGAGAGGAUCUAUGUAGAGUUUAAGAUGUCUUAAAUUGUACACAUUUUAGGUGAUUCAUCUUGAGUUUUCUAAGUGGAGACAUGGCAGAAAUGUGCUAAAAAGCUAAUUGAAAUUUUGCCUGUUGUCAAAAGGCCAACUACAAGUAAUUAUAUUGAAGGCACUUGUUGACAAGUGAGGUUACUUAAACCCUCUUUGAUUGGAUCAUUUGUCUUUGGUAAGCAGAAGGCACAUCAUUGGACAUUCUGCUGUCUGAGGAUGACAGCAGAUUGGGGUUGUGGUUAUCUGCCUUCACUUACUCCACUCUGAACACUCCCUCUCAGAGGCUGAGUGGGAUGGGCAGAAAAUAGGGAGGAUGUGGUUUCUGAAUUCUGAAUCAUGACAGUUUCCCCCCAGUACUCUUAUUUGUAGUAAUUUAAAAAUUCCAUCCUGGCAAUUAGACUGUACUUGGUCUCAGGCUCUAUGGGCCUUGACACUAGCUUCUUAGAUUUCAGGACUAACCAGACUAAUCAAAUUAAUUUUUUUUAAUUAAAAGUUCUCCUAAAUUGAUACUCAAUUGGAGGUCAAGCUGGGCAACAACAUUUUAGAAGUCAUUCUGUCACUUCCACUUCUGUUUGCAUUUCUUCCCAUGGAACUCUUAAGUCCCACAGUAAUUCUUUUUGUAAAACCUUGUAGUAGAGUCAGAUUCAGGCUGCACACUAGAAACAGAUAAUAUGAAAGAAAAUAUUCCAGCAAUUUGAUCUUUGCUAUUUCAGCCUGUGUUUGAAUGAUCCUCAGAGAUCCCUUCCAGCCCUAUUUGUUUCACUCUUCAUAAUACCUAAGGGAACAUGAUGACUGUAAAGAGGUGGAUGUCUCUAGCUUGAAAAGAUUUAUUUCUAACUGGUAAACCAGUUAAUUACAUGUGUAGUUUAAAAAAAAAAUAAAAAAAUCAACCAAAUCUAACUAACCGAUGAAAAAACAACCCCAAAAACACUUUGUGAGGCCUCCAUAACCUUAAAUAUGUACCUCAAAAUAGCUGAACUCUAUUUUAGACAGUAAAGAUAUGAUUAAUAUUUAUUCUCAGGUCAGGCUAGAGCACUUGGAAGGGAAAUCUCGUACUUUUGCCAGUUUUUACCCAAAUCCCUUCUGGCUAGGGGGUUCAGCUGGUGCUUGGGUCACUUCUCUUCUGCAUCUGGGUAACAGCAAGUAAACAAAGCCUCAAGUGAUUAGCAGUGGUUCCUGCAGGACCUCAAGAGGUGGCUUUUAGAGAUCUCUCAGCAGACUUCAGUUCUGGCUGGUGACAGGAUUAUCUGGGUCCCUGAUCAGGAGAAAACAGGGAUGCAGUGCAUGCCACAGAUAUUCCCCAUGAGAACUUCUGCUUACAGCCUGAAGUUCUGCUGUGCUAAGCACCAACUCCAGUAGUAUGUACAGGAUUAGAUAUUGGUGUAGUACCUGACCCUCUAUGUAGUUUAACACCAAACUCAAAUUCAUUCAUACAUUCAGGCUUCACUUGAUCUAAUGAUCACCUCUUCUAGUCUUUUCUCAAGUUAGCUGACACAAAUAAACCUGUUACUACUGUGAUAUUAACCUUUUUCCUGGCUACUGUUCAGUUUAUCUCUGAAAUUAAUCUUCAGGCUUUAGACCACUCUUACUGUGAAAGCUGAGCAACACUAAAAUGCAGAAAUCUGACCGUCACAGUACGUCAUAAACUGCCUAUACCUCAUGGAAAAAUCUGACAGACGCCUUACUUAGAAAUGCUUUGGUUUAGGUGUGUCAUUCUAGUUGGUUUCCUUAAUACGUUGCUAUGAAAACAGGGUCAUGGUUUAGAAUUUAAUCUUCUCUCUAUUCCUGACUUCAGUUGUAACCUCUGUCCACAUCAAAAUUAGCUGGAACUUCAUCUUUACAGCACACACCAGGUUUGAAAGAGAUCUUUUAAUCUUUUUUUUUUUUCCCCUCCUGUAAAGAUCUGAAACCUAAGCAGAAAAAUAAUCAAAGUUUUCUCAUCCUUUAAAAUUAUUCUUAGUGUGAAUUGAUUUUGUGGUAUUGAUUUUAGGAACACUAUCUGUAAGCAGUUAUAUUUUGUGCAAUAUAUUAAAUAGUAAAAACAAUUGAGUGCAUGCAUUUAUAAAAAACAGAAUAAUUCAUUUAUACAUAUAACACAUGCCCCUAUGUACACAGACAUAAUCAUGGAAAUUCAGUCAAUCAGUGCAGCUGCUGGUUACAUUAUUUCAUUUAUUUUUCUAUUCUGUGUUCUCACUAGAAAAGAUGACAAUGACCUUGCAGUUGUAUUUUUCAGUGUAGAACAGCAUAUACAUUUGAAACUUUCUGGGGAAAACCACCCCAUUAAUUUCCAUGCAUAGCUGAAAAGCUGACUAAGAAAAUUAGUGAAAGAUGCAUUGCAGCAUCACACAGAAUAAACCAGGCAGCACUUUAUAGGUAAAGUUCCAUAUUCACUACAGGAAGGUGGAUCUAAAUUCAAUGUCACAAUGCCAUCACCUGCCCUAGCUGAAACGAUGCCUUGUUUUGGUUUUAAGGUGGUUGCAUUUAAGCUAUUAAAAAAAGAAGCCCAAAAUAAGCAAAUUUUCCCAGGAAAUUUUCUGCUUCUUCCUUGGUUCAAAAGGAUCCAGGAAAUGGUAGACAUAUACAUACUUGAAAUCAAAGUCCAGGGCCUGAUGAAUAGGCUGCCUGCCCUUUCCCAGGGAGCACAGCAGGGAGGGCUGGAGAGGGCGGGUGCAGGGAUGAAGGGCUCCUCGGGGCUCUCCCCAGUCCGGGCAAGAGCUGCAUUUAUGCAUAAUAAUUUCUGAACUGCAUAUUUUCCACUCUUUUAUGAGUUGUCUGCUAUUGCUUAAGGGUUCACCUACAUGCUGGUUUGGGAUUCAUUUACCUGUAGAUCAGUUCAGAAAGAGGUAGUUAUGUGGGUAUGAGCUAUAGUGCUAAAAGUACCGUUAGCCUGAUGUAACUAUGUUCACCCUACCAGGGCAGGCAGUCACUUUAUUUAUAUUCUUCAGUUAAAACAUCAGAAAAACAUUACAAAAAAUUAAAUCAUUCCUGAGAGCAAAGAGAUCAGCUGAAUGAACUAUAUUGCAAAAGCUGGUUGGUAUACUUUAGUGUUUAUAGUGCUAAUGUUGGUACUUUACAAUAAUCUGCAUUGUAACUUAAAAAUAAAUUCAUAAAUCUUUCAGUUUAUUUUAGUUGUGAUUAUUUUGUCUUCAGCUCCCUUGUCAAUGUGUGACUGCUUAACAAUAAUUAAACUGCACCUUAUGAAAUGCAUUCAUCCAGGAUGGUUUCUUAGAAAUCCUAGCUUGUCAUGAAUUGCUUUAGUCCACUUGGUAUUGCAGGUUGGGACUCAUUUGCCUCACCACAGUAAGGAGAACAAUUUAAGUAAUUUCACUUGAGGUCUUGGUUAGUAUUUUUUUACCACCAUGAAAUGAUGUAAGAAUUAAAGGAUAACAGGAAACUCCCUCAAAUCACAUUUUCAAGAGCAUUUUCCAAAAGUGGCUAUGUUAGUAGACUUUAUUGUCACCAGAAAGCCUCUGGUAAUCUUACAAAGCAUCUGCAAUGAAUAAUCUUCCCCUCCCCCAUCCUUAUUUGUUGCCAGAAACAGCUUAUAAAUGCUCAGUUGAAGAUGGUGCCAAAUUUUGCUUUUAGGCACACUUGUAAAUAGAAAAUAUUUCCACUGAUUUUGGAAGAAUUAUUCCAGAUUUACGCAGAUGCAAGUGAAAGCCAAAUUUUUCCUGGGUCUUCCCUCAUGGGUGCCACUUGGUGCCCUGAUCAGCGCCAGAACUGCUGCCUCUGGUGUCAGUGCAAGGCAAGUGCUUCAGCUGAAUCUGCCCAUAAUUUGACAAAUUAUUAUAAACAGAUUUGAACAAAUAUUUCUUUACAAAACAAACUGGUCAGCAGGCUCCAGGCUUUAGUCUCCUGAUGCAUUUUACAGGAAAUAAUAUCAAGUUAGCUAUUAUGAAACUACCCCCUCCUCACACACGCAUAAUUGCUUCCAGCUUGCUGAUUAUUACCCUUUCUUUAACUGAUAGAGUGAGAAGAGAAAUAAAAAUAUCUCCAUACAGUAGGCCAAAUCCUCAUCUGGUAUAAAUCGACAUAGCUCCAUCAAAGUCAAUGAAACCAUCUUGAUUUACACCAGUCAAAGAGCUGAUGCACUAUAAUUUUUUUACUUGCUUUUAAAAAUAAAACCUUAUGUGAUUGUGUAACCAACAUUACAACAGAAACCAGCAUUUUCUUUUGUGAACUUAAACGUGCCCUCCCUUCGACUUGCAAACAUUUUCACUUAGAUAGUCCUUCUAUAGCUUUUUUUUCUUUUGCCUUCUGGCAGAAUGCUCCUACCACCCUUGUGUCAUGAGUGAGGUACAAACUGGACUGAAAGAUAAUCACACAGAGAAUAAUAAUUUCAUGGAGUAAUGAGGACAAAGAAUGAAAUGCUACCACUACUCUUUCACCCAAAAGAGGAAAGACAGCUAAGCAAAGCUCAAGAUAAAAAAAAUAUUUCUGACAUUCUCUCUGAUCACUAUUCUCCAAUUAACAAACAGAUAUUAACAGCACCAAGAAAUUAGUAAUUCUUACUCCGGAAUGACAGUACUGUAAAUUACUAUUAUGGAUUAUGUUUUUAAAAUAAUCUUUAAAAUAAUACAAUGAGACUUAUUAGAAGGUUUACUGAAGCUGAUUGAAACUCUCUAUGUGCUUUCUCUGGACAAACAUUUCUAAAGUCUUUUUUCAGUGUUCUCUAGGGGCUGUGAAACACAUGGUGAUUUUUUUUGGGAAUACUCUUUGUCUCUUGUACUUCUCAAAAGCAAGGCGAGCUGUUCACAGCAAAUCUUUUACAUCCCUUUCAGGGAGCUCUAAGCAUUUCCGUGCAGUAUAUUGUCAAAUAAAAGUCUGGUCUUUCCCGAAGCUUCAUUUUUUGGCUGGUUGAUUUGAUUGAUGUGUAUAUUCAGAAAUUCAUGAUAAUUUCAACAACAUCUUGAAAAAUGGGAAUGAUUUCAUUGUUAAUGGUGACAUAGUUUUCUACUGCUUCAGCAAAGACUUUUAAGAAAAUGUACAUUCAUUAAUUCUUGGUAUUUAGCAGCGCCUAACAGCGUGCUGGAUGUUUUAUUAAAGUUAAUGGUGAUAUUUGCAGGAUUGCAGCCUUUAAUUUCCAACUGCUUUUUUGAAUACUGUAAAAAAUUAAAAUGUAAUAAAAAAAUGCAUUAGCAUGGAUUUCCAAAUGUUUUCAUUCAAAAUGCAGUCAAGAUUAAGCUUGCUUUUAAAUACAUAUUCCAUUGCUUUGAAUAACAUCUUGAAAAUUAUUCUAUGAU